GGGCCCUCUGAAUCGGCGGAGGUGGGAAGGCCCCUUUGCUCUGCUUUUGGAUGAACCAGGGACGAGGGGGAGCGAGCUCAGCUUUUCCUCUCUGAAAGCCGGAGAGGCGGCACGUUGCGACGAAUGAUAUUUCUGACGUCUCGGCAAAUGAAAUUAAUUUAACAGACCUGUUUUUUUACACCAAAACUUUACAAAAAAGUGCACGGACGACGAGCGCCUAAUAGAUGCGGACGUAGCUCCCCUCACUCCUCGGUCCAUCUUAUUGGCAGAUAAAGAUCUAAUUUACUUUAAUGUGUAUGUUGACAUUACAUUUUUUUAAAGCAAGAGGGAAGCAAAUUAAUAGGAAGUAUACGUUUAGUCCUCUGAUCAAGAACUUUGGGCCUUUUUUUCCCCCCCUUGAAUCACAUGAACAAACUUGCAUCCGUAUUCAUACACGCCGGGAUUUGGUUUCUCAAAAGACAUCCGAUUCUGAUCUUUUUACAACUUUGCAAUAAUCCCCAGUAAACAUUCAGACCCAUGCAACGUGGGUUUUUAAAAUAUCUUACCUGGAAGCCGUAGCUAUUUUGUCAUUUCGGCUGGCUGCUGCUGCUUUCAAUCAUCUCCCAUCUGCUCUCCCGUUUCUUUUCCCCAUGCAUCAUCCAUCUUGUAUAUUUGCUCACCCUCCCUCCCUGCUGAUCUGGUAGUUGUUCAAUGAUCAGAAUUGUCUAUUUGUAGUCAGCUGAGUACAUUGAUCUGUGUCACUGUGUUUAUGCACUGGACCAACUAUUGUUUACCAUUCAUGAAAUACCAGCAAAAAUAAAAAAGAGAAUAAUGUCUAAACACUUGCACAAUGUUGUAGAAUGUCCAUUGAUCCAGAUGAAAAAUCAAGGCAGCUGUUUUCAAAUCAACACAUCCCGUUUAAAAAAAAAAGAAACUGAAUGGUAAACAAUGCUUUCUGUUGUACACUUAGCCGUCCUCUUGAUUCUCUUCGGACUAGUUCUGUUUUUUUUUUUUUUUUCUUUUCCGCCGUUUGACUACAACAGGUUCUGCUUGUUUCCUUUACACCGACCUAUGUAUUUUCCUACUUCUGGUUGAAAAUAAAUUCUAUAUUACCUGUUUCAGGCCGUGUCACCUCUUAUUUUUUUGCAAUGGAUAUUGAAAAUAAAAUCCGUUCUCCUUGAACU
ensembl:lncRNA